rnacentral:rRNA from 1 species
GACGAACGCUGGCGGCGUGCUUAACACAUGCAAGUCGAACGGAAAGGCCCUGCUUUUGUGGGGUGCUCGAGUGGCGAACGGGUGAGUAACACGUGAGUAACCUGCCCUUGACUUUGGGAUAACUUCAGGAAACUGGGGCUAAUACCGGAUAGGAGCUCCUGCUGCAUGGUGGGGGUUGGAAAGUUUCGGCGGUUGGGGAUGGACUCGCGGCUUAUCAGCUUGUUGGUGGGGUAGUGGCUUACCAAGGCUUUGACGGGUAGCCGGCCUGAGAGGGUGAACGGCCACAUUGGGCCUGAGAUACGGCGCAGAAGCCUACGGGAGGCAGCAGUGGGGAAUAUUGCACAACGGGCGGAAGCCUGAUGCAGCAACGCCGCGUGCGGGAUGCCGGCCUUCGGGUUGUAAACAGCUUUCGCCUGUGACGAAGCGUGAGUGACGGUAAUGGGUAAAGAAGCACCGGCUAACUACGUG